UACGUAGGGCGCAAGCGUUGUCCGGAAUUAUUGGGCGUAAAGAGCUCGUAGGCGGCUUGUCACGUCGGUUGUGAAAGCCCGGGGCUUAACCCCGGGUCUGCAGUCGAUACGGGCAGGCUAGAGUUCGGUAGGGGAGAUCGGAAUUCCUGGUGUAGCGGUGAAAUGCGCAGAUAUCAGGAGGAACACCGGUGGCGAAGGCGGAUCUCUGGGCCGAUACUGACGCUGAGGAGCGAAAGCGUGGGGAGCGAACAGGAUUAGAUACCCGGGUAGUCC
rnacentral:rRNA from 1 species